AUCUCGAAGGAUUGCGUCUCAUUUAUCACGCAAACCAAACUCAAAAUUGCGUCAAUAUAAGGACGCAUUCUCUUUUAUGUCACACAUGCGCAGUGGCCACUCUGCUGUCUGGAGCCCCCCUGACAUCUUUGUAGCCUAAUUUACUGAAAAAUAAGCCGUUAUUCAUGUUGCUCCACAUAACCGCGUAUUGCAACUUCAUAAUUAAAUCCCCACAACAAAAUACUGAGCUUAUGGGCUAUUUUAGUCACAUUUUAGUUCCUAGACAAAAGUCUGUUUUGCUAGGAUAUUAAUAAAAUAACAGAAGCUGUUUUAUCCUAUACGAGAGCAUUUGUAGUAUUUGUCCAGAAGACUUUUGUGGCUGAAAACCAUUCAACCAGUAAGGUUUUUGAAAUAUUCAUUGUAAAUAACCCUGAUGUACCCCCACUGUUUAUGAUGAUGUCAUUUCAUCGCGACCUCCAUGCAUUGGAUUGUGGAUUUGAUUGUACUGCCUGCAGUCUGAUGUGGUUUGGCUGAGCUUUAUUCAUCAAUUGUUUUACGUCUCCAGUUUUCCCUGAGGUCCAAAAUAUUCAGUGGAGUGAAACUGUUGAUGGUACAGUGCAUUACCAGGCGAAUACACCGGUGGCGACAAGAUCAAGCAACAGAGAAUCGCUGGACUGUGCAGCAAGAGUGAUAGAAGUAUGUCCGUUAAAAGCAGAAUGCAAGCAGUCCAACAUUCCAAUUGGCUGUGGCGACUGUUGCAAUACCACAUCAUAGCUAAUUUGAAUAAUAAGUAAAACUACAAACUGUCGCUCAAGUCGCGCGA